UUUGCCAUUUACACCUUGCUCAAGAGGAGAAUCAACCCAUUGUCACUGUGGAUACAGAUGAAGGUCCAAAGGAGGAGGCUCAAGGGGACAUAAAGUUAUUAAUCUGACUAAACAUGGAGGAGUAACAAACAGAAGGUCUCCCCAGAUAAAAAAUUGACACUCCAUGCAGGAGACAGGAAAAGGCUUCAGGUAUUCUAUCAUGUUCAGCCCUUUUUAAGCCUGGAAUAGCUUAUAUGCUUCUGACAGCCUGGCUAAAUACCAGGUUACCAGGAGGGGAACCCACUUAAUUGCCUGGAUU